rnacentral:rRNA from 1 species
GAUGAACGCUGGCGGCGUGCCUAAUACAUGCAAGUCGAACGCACAGCGAAAGGUGCUUGCACCUUUCACGUGAGUGGCGAACGGGUGAGUAACACGUGGACAACCUGCCUCAAGGCUGGGGAUAACAUUUGGAAACAGAUGCUAAUACCGAAUAAAACUUAGUGUCGCAUGACACAAAGUUAAAAGGCGCUUCGGCGUCACCUAGAGAUGGAUCCGCGGUGCAUUAGUUAGUUGGUGGGGUAAAGGCCUACCAAGACAAUGAUGCAUAGCCGAGUUGAGAGACUGAUCGGCCACAUUGGAACUGAGACACGGCCCAAACUCCUACGGGAGGCUGCAGUAGGGAAUCUUCCACAAUGGGCGAAAGCCUGAUGGAGCAACGCCGCGUGUGUGAUGAAGGCUUUCGGGUCGUAAAGCACUGUUGUAUGGGAAGAACAGCUAGAAUAGGAAAUGAUUUUAGUUUGACGGUACCAGACCAGAAAGGGACGGCUAAAUACGUG